rnacentral:rRNA from 1 species
AACAGAGAGAAGCAAUACCGCGAGGUGGAGCAAAACCUCAAAAAUGGUCUCAGUUCGGACUGUAGGCUGCAACUCGCCUACACGAAGUUGGAAUUGCUAGUAAUCGUGGAUCAGCAUGCCACGGUGAAUACGUUCCCGGGUCUUGUACACACCGCCCGUCACACCAUGGGAGCUGGUAACACCCGAAGUCAGUAGUCUAACCGCAAGGAGGACGCUGCCGAAGGUGGGAUUAGCGACUGGGGUGAAGUCGUAACAAGGUACC